AUGCUACUCAAUUCGUACGUGGGGUCGAGGGUGACGGCACGGGAGCUUUGGUGCUGUCCUGCCGGCAUUGGGUUUCCAGGAGCUGUCACUGCUUGCUACGUGGGGUUUCCAGGAUCGUUGAUUACCACCAUUGCCCGGUUGAGCACUACCGUUCAGCUCUGUGCAUUCCUUGACAUUUGGCAGCUUCUGCAGACCGCCGAUAUUGACCCCUCCCGUCGAGACUCCAUCCGCUGGAACUGGACGGGUUCAGGGGAGUACUCCACCAAGUCUGCCUACCAUAUGCAGUUCUGUGGUCGUCUGGUGCCUUUCCGCUCUACUAAUGUUUGGAAAGGACAGGACACCCCCAAAUGCAAGCUCUUCGACAGGCUUGUCCUGCAUGGAAGAAUCCUCACGGCCGAAAACAUGGUAAUUCGUGUUGGCCACAUAGUUCGACGUGCCGCCUUUGCAUGGCAUCCGAUGAGACUGUCGCUCAUCUCUGCAGAGAUUGCCCCUUCUCGCAGGCGGUGUAGAGGACAGUCAAUUCCGCCGAUGGAACACCUGACGCGAGCCCAUCGGAUGAUCCAAGCUCCAUCAACACGUGGUGGGAGGGCUUCCUUGCCGGUGUUCCAGCUCGGAACGUGCGGGAGCUUAGAGGUGCCAUGA
rnacentral:rRNA from 1 species